UACAGAGGGUGCGAGCGUUGUUCGGAAUUAUUGGGCGUAAAGGGCGCGUAGGCGGUUGCGGUAAGUCACCUGUGAAAAUCUCCUGGGCUCAACCUGGGAGCUUGCAGGCGAAACUGCCGGUGCUGGAGUGUGGGAGAGGUGCGUGGAAUUCCUGGUGCAGCGGUGAAAUGCGUAGAUAUCAGGAGGAACACCUGUGGCGAAAGCGGCGCACUGGACCACAACUGACGCUGAGGCGCGAAAAGCUAGGGGAGCAAACAGG
rnacentral:rRNA from 1 species